GGAAGGGAAGGGACGGCAGGGGGGCCGGGAGCGGGGCCGGUGUCAGCGCCGGGGCAGGGCGCGCUCGUGCCAGCGCAGCGCUCAGCGCCGCCUGCGCCCUGCCAGCACCGCCCCGUGGCUGCGCACCCUCGCCCCGUGAGUCAGAGGCGCUGUGGGAGCUCCGUGCAGCCUUAUCUCGCGUCCCUUUUGUGGCCCGGCGCUGUGUGCGGCUCUGCGCGGCGGGGAGGCGGUGGCAGUGAGACACGCUGCACCCGCACCAUGCUGCGCUUCCUCUGGGACAGCAUCUCCCUGCAGAUGCUCUUCGUCUUCCUCCUUGUCUUCCUGCUUGUCUCGGACUACAUGAAGAAGAGAAAGCCGAAGGACUUCCCCCCCGGUCCUUUUUCCUUCCCUUUCCUGGGAAACAUGGAAUUUAUCAUUGCGAAAGACCCCGUGG
rnacentral:lncRNA from 1 species